UACGGAGGGUGCAAGCGUUAUCCGGAUUUACUGGGUUUAAAGGGUGUGUAGGCGGGCUAUUAAGUCAGUGGUGAAAUCUCCGGGCUCAACCCGGAAACUGCCAUUGAUACUAUUAGUCUUGAAUUUUGUUGAGGUAGGCGGAAUAAGUCAUGUAGCGGUGAAAUGCAUAGAUAUGACUUAGAACACCAAUUGCGAAGGCAGCUUGCUAAACAAAUAUUGACGCUGAGGCACGAAAGCCAGGGGAGCAAACGGG
rnacentral:rRNA from 1 species